rnacentral:rRNA from 1 species
UUAAGCGACUAAGCGUACACGGUGGAUGCCCUGGCAGUCAGAGGCGAUGAAGGGCGUGCUAAUCUGCGAUAAGCGCCGGUAAGGUGAUAUGAACCGUUAUAACCGGCGAUACCCGAAUGGGGAAACCCAGUGUGAUUCGUCACACUAUCAUUAACUGAAUCCAUAGGUUAAUGAGGCGAACCGGGGGAACUGAAACAUCUAAGUACCCCGAGGAAAAGAAAUCAACCGAGAUUCCCCCAGUAGCGGCGAGCGAACGGGGAGGAGCCCAGAGCCUGAAUCAGCAUGUGUGUUAGUGGAAGCGUCUGGAAAGGCGCGCGAUACAGGGUGACAGCCCCGUACACAAAAGCGCAUGUGCUGUGAGCUCGAUGAGUAGGGCGGGACACGUGGUAUCCUGUCUGAAUAUGGGGGGACCAUCCUCCAAGGCUAAAUACUCCUGACUGACCGAUAGUGAACCAGUACCGUGAGGGAAAGGCGAAAAGAACCCCGGCGAGGGGAGUGAAAAAGAACCUGAAACCGUGUACGUACAAGCAGUGGGAGCCCCACCACCAAAGCAUUCUCUGGUGUUGAAGGCCCUGCAAAGCAGCAUCGCGGUGGCGGAGCGUCGUUUGCGACGCCCAACGCACAAAACAAGCGGUGAGUGCUUUGGGGUGGGGUGACUGCGUACCUUUUGUAUAAUGGGUCAGCGACUUAUAUUCUGUAGCAAGGUUAACCGAAUAGGGGAGCCGGAGGGAAACCGAGUCUUAAUUGGGCGUUAAGUUGCAGGGUAUAGACCCGAAACCCGGUGAUCUAGCCAUGGGCAGGUUGAAGGUUGGGUAACACUAACUGGAGGACCGAACCGACUAAUGUUGAAAAAUUAGCGGAUGACCUGUGGCUGGGGGUGAAAGGCCAAUCAAACCGGGAGAUAGCUGGUUCUCCCCGAAAGCUAUUUAGGUAGCGCCUCGUGAAUUCAUCUCCGGGGGUAGAGCACUGUUUCGGCUAGGGGGCCAUCCCGGCUUACCAACCCGAUGCAAACUGCGAAUACCGGAGAAUGUUAUCACGGGAGACACACGGCGGGUGCUAACGUCCGUCGUGAAGAGGGAAACAACCCAGACCGCCAGCUAAGGUCCCAAAGUCAUGGUUAAGUGGGAAACGAUGUGGGAAGGCCCAGACAGCCAGGAUGUUGGCUUAGAAGCAGCCAUCAUUUAAAGAAAGCGUAAUAGCUCACUGGUCGAGUCGGCCUGCGCGGAAGAUGUAACGGGGCUAAACCAUGCACCGAAGCUGCGGCAGCGAACGUAUCACCCAAGACAACUUUACGGAGUUGACGAUUGACGGAGCGAAGCGACGUCAAAGCGUUCAUUAAAGUCGAGUUGGCUUAGGGAUACGUUCGUUGGGUAGGGGAGCGUUCUGUAAGCCUGCGAAGGUGGCCUGUGAGGGUUGCUGGAGGUAUCAGAAGUGCGAAUGCUGACAUAAGUAACGAUAAAGCGGGUGAAAAGCCCGCUCGCCGGAAGACCAAGGGUUCCUGUCCAACGUUAAUCGGGGCAGGGUGAGUCGACCCCUAAGGCGAGGCCGAAAGGCGUAGUCGAUGGGAAACGGGUUAAUAUUCCCGUACUUGGUGUUACUGCGAAGGGGGGACGGAGAAGGCUAUGUUGGCCGGGCGACGGUUGUCCCGGUUUAAGCGUGUAGGUGUGUGUUCCAGGUAAAUCCGGUUCACUUUAACACUGAGGCGUGAUGACGAGGCACUACGGUGCUGAAGCAACAAAUGCCCUGCUUCCAGGAAAAGCCUCUAAGCAUCAGGUAACAUCAAAUCGUACCCCAAACCGACACAGGUGGUCAGGUAGAGAAUACCAAGGCGCUUGAGAGAACUCGGGUGAAGGAACUAGGCAAAAUGGUGCCGUAACUUCGGGAGAAGGCACGCUGACACGUAGGUGAAGUGAUUUACUCAUGGAGCUGAAGUCAGUCGAAGAUACCAGCUGGCUGCAACUGUUUAUUAAAAACACAGCACUGUGCAAACACGAAAGUGGACGUAUACGGUGUGACGCCUGCCCGGUGCCGGAAGGUUAAUUGAUGGGGUCAGCGCAAGCGAAGCUCCUGAUCGAAGCCCCGGUAAACGGCGGCCGUAACUAUAACGGUCCUAAGGUAGCGAAAUUCCUUGUCGGGUAAGUUCCGACCUGCACGAAUGGCGUAAUGAUGGCCAGGCUGUCUCCACCCGAGACUCAGUGAAAUUGAACUCGCUGUGAAGAUGCAGUGUACCCGCGGCAAGACGGAAAGACCCCGUGAACCUUUACUAUAGCUUGACACUGAACAUUGAGCCUUGAUGUGUAGGAUAGGUGGGAGGCUUUGAAGUGUGGACGCCAGUCUGCAUGGAGCCGACCUUGAAAUACCACCCUUUAAUGUUUGAUGUUCUAACGUGGACCCGUUACCCGGGUUGCGGACAGUGUCUGGUGGGUAGUUUGACUGGGGCGGUCUCCUCCUAAAGAGUAACGGAGGAGCACGAAGGUUGGCUAAUCCUGGUCGGACAUCAGGAGGUUAGUGCAAUGGCAUAAGCCAGCUUGACUGCGAGCGUGACGGCGCGAGCAGGUGCGAAAGCAGGUCAUAGUGAUCCGGUGGUUCUGAAUGGAAGGGCCAUCGCUCAACGGAUAAAAGGUACUCCGGGGAUAACAGGCUGAUACCGCCCAAGAGUUCAUAUCGACGGCGGUGUUUGGCACCUCGAUGUCGGCUCAUCACAUCCUGGGGCUGAAGUAGGUCCCAAGGGUAUGGCUGUUCGCCAUUUAAAGUGGUACGCGAGCUGGGUUUAGAACGUCGUGAGACAGUUCGGUCCCUAUCUGCCGUGGGCGCUGGAGAACUGAGGGGGGCUGCUCCUAGUACGAGAGGACCGGAGUGGACGCAUCACUGGUGUUCGGGUUGUCAUGCCAAUGGCACUGCCCGGUAGCUAAAUGCGGAAGAGAUAAGUGCUGAAAGCAUCUAAGCACGAAACUUGCCCCGAGAUGAGUUCUCCCUGAGACUUAGAGUCUCCUGAAGGAACGUUGAAGACGACGACGUUGAUAGGCCGGGUGUGUAAGCGCAGCGAUGCGUUGAGCUAACCGGUACUAAUGAACCGUGAGGCUUAACCUU